UACGGGGGGGGCAAGCGUUGUUCGGAAUUACUGGGCGUAAAGGGCCAGUAGGCGGCCAACUAAGUCCGACGUGAAAUCCCCAGGCUUAACUUGGGAACUGCGUCGGAUACUGGAUGGCUUGAAUUCGGGAGAGGGAUGCAGAAUUCCAGGUGUAGCGGUGAAAUGCGUAGAUAUCUGGAGGAACACCGGUGGCGAAGGCGGCAUCCUGGACCGAGAUUGACGCUGAGGCGCGAAAGCCAGGGGAGCAAACGGG
rnacentral:rRNA from 1 species